rnacentral:rRNA from 1 species
GAUGAACGCUGGCGGCGUGCCUAAUACAUGCAAGUCGAGCGAACAGACGAGGAGCUUGCUCCUCUGACGUUAGCGGCGGACGGGUGAGUAACACGUGGAUAACCUACCUAUAAUACUGGGAUAACUUCGGGAAACCGGAGCUAAUACCGGAUAAUAUAUUGAACCGCAUGGUUCAAUAGUGAAAGACGGUUUUGCUGUCACUUAUAGAUGGAUCCGCGCCGCAUUAGCUAGUUGGUAAGGUAACGGCUUACCAAGGCGACGAUGCGUAGCCGACCUGAGAGGGUGAUCGGCCACACUGGAACUGAGACACGGUCCAGACUCCUACGGGAGGCAGCAGUAGGGAAUCUUCCGCAAUGGGCGAAAGCCUGACGGAGCAACGCCGCGUGAGUGAUGAAGGUCUUCGGAUCGUAAAACUCUGUUAUUAGGGAAGAACAAAUGUGUAAGUAACUAUGCACGUCUUGACGGUACCUAAUCAGAAAGCCACGGCUAACUACGUG